UACGUAGGGUGCAAGCGUUGUCCGGAAUUAUUGGGCGUAAAGAGCUCGUAGGCGGCUUGUCGCGUCGUCCGUGAAAACCUGCGGCUCAACUGCAGGCUGGCGGUCGAUACGGGCAGGCUGGAGUUCGGUAGGGGAGACUGGAAUUCCUGGUGUAGCGGUGAAAUGCGCAGAUAUCAGGAGGAACACCGAUGGCGAAGGCAGGUCUCUGGGCCACUACUGACGCUGAGAAGCGAAAGCGUGGGGAGCAAACAGG
rnacentral:rRNA from 1 species